UUCGCUUUCUCAACUAGGGUACGAUUGAAUCGUUCAGCCAUUCCAUUUUGUUGCGGUGUAUGACUAUUUAAAGUUUGGUGUAUUAUUCCGGCACUCUUCAAAUAUCUGGUAAAAUCACCGUUGCAAAAUUCACCUCCAUUGUCACUUCUUAGGGUUUUAAUGUUGGUGUUUUGCAGGUUUUCUGAUAAGGCUUUGAAUUCUUUAAACCUUUCCAAUGCCUCAUCCUUAGUCUUGAGGAAAUAAACAAAACACAUUCUACUAUAGUCGUCUAUGAAUGUAAGGAAGUAUUUUGCUCCACCUAAUGACGUUGUCUCCAUCGGGCCACAGAUAUCACUGUGAAUUACUUCCAACACUUUAUCUGCUCGGCUUCCUUCUUUGGGGAAUGGCAAACGGAACUGUUUGCCUUUACAGCAUACUUCACAAUUUUUUAAGCUUGCUUGACCCUUAAGGAUGAGUCCAUUUACCAGCUUCUCUGUCAUCUGCAAGUAAUUAUCAUUGAUGUGACCCAAACGUUGAUGCCAGGUUGUUCUGCUAGCAGCUAUAUAGCACACUGGCUUCUCUUCGUGCAAGUUUAACUUGUAUACAUUAUUGCACAAGUCAGCAGUUGCCACUAAAAUAUUAUGACGAUUAUAAAUAUAGCAACCAUUCUCAUUAAAGGAUACCUUAUUUCCAUUUUUAAUUAAUUGCGACACAGAUAAAAGAUUUGUAGUCAAACCUGGGACAUAUUGUACUCCCUGUAAUAAUAUAUCUUGUUUCUUAUCGGUAAAUGUUUGUAUUUUCACGUCUCCAGCACAUUCAACUCCCAAUUUGGCCUUAUUUGCUACAGUGACGUCUUUCAAAUCCGGAUUCCUGAAGGUUAUCAUCCACCAUAGAGAAAGGAGGAAAAGAGUGACGACUCAGCGGUAAAAUAAAUAAGCGUGAUUGUGGCGACCUUAUGGGCAGGGUAUGGAACUAAUGAUGUUGAUUCUGCGCAUUUGGCGCCUUAUUAUUUCAUUAUUCGAAACAACUCACCAGUUGAAUGAAAACCUGCACCGAAAAUUAUGAAAAAACUGUAAUAUCAAUUACAGUUUUUUCAAUAUUUCAGUGGGGUUUUGCAUCCAACUUAAUUUUUACUUAAGUAAUAAUACUCAACGAAUUUUGACAUACUUUUUAUUGUACAUAAUUAUACAAAUUGAUAUUUGUGAACAGAAAUUAAUGAAAUAAUUGAAUCAAAUUAUAAAUAUAUCGUAUUGUACCACUUGAAUAUUAAAGAAGGAAACAUUUCAUUUGAAGAUUGACAAUAAAAUAAUUAUUUUUGUGAUUACUGACAAAUAUCCAGGAAAUCGAAGGAUUGAAUGGAAUCUUCAAUUCUUUGGCAGAACUCCAACGUAAGCCUUUUGAAACUUGGAACAAAGUGAAAAAUUGAUGGUGAUCCUGAAGAGACUUUUAUUGAAAGUAUAUAAGAAUGAGUUAUUGGUUUGAGACCUUUUUUAAUGAUGAACUAUUUUCUUGACAGGGUUGAAGGUCAGGUUGUUGGAACAAAAACCACCUCUCAGACCAUUGCCGACAUGUUUCGACUUUAUUC